rnacentral:rRNA from 1 species
GAUGAACGCUGGCGGCGUGCCUAAUACAUGCAAGUCGAGCGAACAGAUGAGAAGCUUGCUUCUCUGAUGUUAGCGGCGGACGGGUGAGUAACACGUGGGUAACCUACCUAUAGGACUGGGAUAACUCCGGGAAACCGGGGCUAAUACCGGAUAAUAUUUUGAACCGCAUGGUUCAAUAGUGAAAGACGGUUUCGGCUGUCACUUAUAGAUGGACCGGCGCCGUAUUAGCUAGUUGGUAAGGUAACGGCUUACCAAGGCGACGAUACGUAGCCGACCUGAGAGGGUGAUCGGCCACACUGGAACUGAGACACGGUCCAGACUCCUACGGGAGGCAGCAGUAGGGAAUCUUCCGCAAAGGGCGAAAGCCUGACGGAGCAACGCCGCGUGAGUGAUGAAGGUCUUCGGAUCGUAAAACUCUGUUGUUAGGGAAGAACAAAUUUGUUAGUAACUGAACAAGUCUUGACGGUACCUAACCAGAAAGCCACGGCUAACUACGUGCCAGCCGCCGCCGUAA